rnacentral:tRNA from 1 species
UGUGGCUUAGUGGUAGAGCAUUUGCUUUGCAUGCACAAGGUCUCAGGUUCAAUCUCUAAUUAAAAAA